rnacentral:rRNA from 1 species
UACGAAGGGGGCUAGCGUUGUUCGGAUUUACUGGGCGUAAAGCGCACGUAGGCGGAUCUUUAAGUCAGAGGUGAAAUCCCAAGGCUCAACCUUGGAACUGCCUUUGAUACUGGGGAUCUUGAGUCCGGGAGAGGUGAGUGGAACUGCGAGUGUAGAGGUGAAAUUCGUAGAUAUUCGCAAGAACACCAGUGGCGAAGGCGGCUCACUGGCCCGGUACUGACGCUGAGGUGCGGAAGCGUGGGGAGCAAACAGG